rnacentral:rRNA from 1 species
AACGAACGCUGGCGGCAUGCCUAACACAUGCAAGUCGAACGAGACCUUCGGGUCUAGUGGCGCACGGGUGCGUAACGCGUGGGAACCUGCCCUUAGGUUCGGAAUAACUCCCCGAAAGGGGUGCUAAUACCGGAUAAUGUCUUCGGACCAAAGAUUUAUCGCCUUUGGAUGGGCCCGCGUUGGAUUAGCUAGUUGGUAGGGUAAAAGCCUACCAAGGCGACGAUCCAUAGCUGGUCUGAGAGGAUGAUCAGCCACACUGGGACUGAGACACGGCCCAGACUCCUACGGGAGGCAGCAGUGGGGAAUAUUGGACAAUGGGCGAAAGCCUGAGCCAGCAAUGCCGCGUGAGUGAUGAAGGCCUUAGGGUUGUAAAGCUCUUUUACCCGGGAUGAUAAUGACAGUACUGGGAGAAUAAGCUCCGGCUAACUCCGUG